rnacentral:rRNA from 1 species
CGGCGUGGUUAAGACAUGCAAGUCGCACGGGAGCAGCAAUGCUCUAGUGGCGCAAGGGUGAGUAAAGUAUCGCUAACGUACCCCGGAAUCUGGGAUAGCUGCCCGAAAGGGCAGGUAAUACCAGAUAAUAUAUCCUGGCCGCAUGGUUGGGAUCUCAAAGGAGCAAUCCGAUCUGGGCGCGGGCGAUAUCGUAUCAGCUAGUUGGUGAGGUAACGGCUCACCAAGGCGACGACGCGUAGCCGGACUGAGAGGUCGGUCGGCCACAUCGGGACUGAGACACUGCCCGGACUCCUACGGGGGGCUGCAGUAACGAAUCUUACGCAAUGGGCGCAAGCCUGAGGGAGCGACGCCGCGUGGAGGAGGAAGUCCUUCGGGAUGUAAACUCCUGU